UACAUGUAUGUGCAUGUGUGUAUGUACAUUUAUGAAGAGUGUAUGUAUAUACAUACAUGGGUAUGUGCAUAUACAUACACACACUCAUAUAAAAU
rnacentral:miRNA from 1 species